rnacentral:rRNA from 1 species
GGAAUUGACGGGGCCCGCACAAGCGGUGGAGCAUGUGGUUUAAUUCGAUGCAACGCGAAGAACCUUACCUGGACUUGACAUCUCGGGAAUCCCCUGGAAACAGGGGAGUGCCCUUCGGGGAGCCCGAAGACAGGUGCUGCAUGGCUGUCGUCAGCUCGUGUCGUGAGAUGUUGGGUUAAGUCCCGCAACGAGCGCAACCCUUGUCUUUAAUUGCCAUCAUUCAGUUGGGCACUUUAAAGAGACUGCCGGUGUUAAGCCGGAGGAAGGUGGGGAUGACGUCAAGUCCUCAUGGCCCUUAUGUCCAGGGCUACACACGUGCUACAAUGGCCGGUACAAAGGGCAGCAAAGCCGCGAGGUGGAGCCAAUCCCAGAAAGCCGGUCUCAGUUCGGAUUGGAGUCUGCAACUCGACUCCAUGAAGUUGGAAUCGCUAGUAAUCGCGGAUCAGCACGCCGCGGUGAAUACGUUCCCGGGCCUU